ACCUGCGGAAGAAUCAUUA
rnacentral:ncRNA from 2 species